rfam:Desulfitobacterium hafniense DCB-2, complete genome.
UACCCCAUGCAGUGAUGUAUGGCUGAACAGUUGGAAGUCAGCAAAGUCAUGUACCAAGAUGGUCAUGAACAUCUUGGGAAGGAC